UGAAAUUUUAAUAUUUUAUUGGUAAUUUAGUGUAAGUUUAUUUUGUAUGUAUAUUUUUUAGGUUUAAAUAACUUAUUAGCAGCAUUUAAUAUUAUAAAUUUAAAGAAAUUUAGAACUAGAUAUAUUUUUAGUAUAAAUAAAAUCUGUGCCAGCAAUUGCGGUUAUACAGAUUAUACAAUUAAUUUUUUUUAAAAUGUAAUUAGUUUUAAUUAUAGUUUAAUUAUUUUAAGGGGUUUUGUUAGGUGAAAUUUUUAAAUUUUAAUUUAAUUAUAUUUAUUUAUGAUUUACGAAAUUUUUUUAUAAACUAGGAUUAGAUACCCUACUAUUUGAAAUAUGAAUUUGGGUUUUAUUUAGUAUUAGGAUGUUUUCUUGAAAAUUAAAAUAUUUGGCGGUAUCUGAGUCUAUUCAGAGGAAUCUGUCCUGUAAAUGAUAAUCCACGAUUUGAAUAUAUUUUUAUUUAAAGUUUGUAUAUCGUUGUUUAUAAAUAUUUUAUUAGAAUUUUAAUAUUUAAUAAUUUUAAUUAAAUGGUAUUUCAGAUCAAGGUGCAGUUUAUGUAAAAGGAGAGAUGGAUUACAAUAAAUUUAUUUUUGGAUUUAAAUGUUUAAUUGUUGAAGUAAAUUGGAUUUGAUAGUAAUUUUAUUAAAUUGAUAAAAUGAUUUUAGCUCUAAGGUAUGUACAUAUUGCCCGUCACUCUCAUCUAAUGUGAGAUAAGUCGUAACAGAGUAGGGGUACUGGAAAGUGUUCCUAGAAAGUU
rnacentral:ncRNA from 1 species